UACGAAGGGGGCUAGCGUUGCUCGGAAUCACUGGGCGUAAAGCGCACGUAGGCGGAUUGCUAAGUCAGGGGUGAAAUCCUGGAGCUCAACUCCAGAACUGCCUUUGAUACUGGCGGUCUUGAGUCCGGGAGAGGUGAGUGGAACUGCGAGUGUAGAGGUGAAAUUCGUAGAUAUUCGCAAGAACACCAGUGGCGAAGGCGGCUCGCUGGCCCGGUACUGACGCUGAGGUGCGAAAGCGUGGGGAGCGAACAGG
rnacentral:rRNA from 1 species